AGGCAAGACACGAUGCGCGGUCGGAGGAUGCCUUGGCACGACUAGCCGAUGAAGGACGCCGGCAAGCGGCGAUAGGAUGGGGGAGCGGCAACCACGCAUUGAGCCCAUCGUCUCCGAAUGGGGCAACCCCACACACGCGUGGUGUGUGACCCACCGUUGGUGGGAGGGAACCAGGCGAACUGAAACAUCUUAGUAGCCUGAGGAAGUAGUACUCCACCCGUAGUAGUGGCGAGCGAACCGGGUGGCAGCCUAAACCGUCAGCGUGCCAAGCAUGCACGCGUUGCGCUGAUGGGGUUGUGAGACCUGCCGUCGGGAGUGCGUUCCUGACAGCGGUCGCGUGUGGCAGCAUGGAACCGGCUGGGAUGCCGGACCGGAGCGGGUGAGAGUCCCGUACAUGCGGCGGCACGCACCGUGGCGGGGAUCUCGAGUACCACGGGACACGUGAAAUCCCGUGGGAAGCGGGGCGGACCACCGUCCAAGGCAAGAUACUAGUCGUGACCGAUAGUGCACAGUACCGUGAGGGAACGGUGAAAAGCACCCCGGUGAGGGGAGUGAAAGAGAGCCUGAAACCGACCGCGUCCAUGCAGUGAGAGCCGGAGGGAUGCCCCGGGUGGGUGUCCCCGGUGAUCGCGUGCCUUUUGGAGAAUGAUCCGACGAGUUACGAGCUGUCGCGCGCCUAAGGCAGGGACAGCCGGAGGCCGAGCGAACGCGAGCGUGAAGAGCGCAGAGUGUGGCAGCUAGUAGACCUGAAACCGUGUGAGCUACCCAUGGCCAGGGUGAAGCGUCUGUAACAGGACGUGGAGGCCCGAACUGAUUAGUGUUGCAAAACUACCGGAUGAGUUGUGGGUAGGGGUGAAAUGCCAAUCGAACACGGAGAUAGCUGGUUCUCCCCGAAAUGCAUUGAGGUGCAGCCGGGGCCGAGUUCUGAUCGCGGGGGUAGAGCGCUGUUGAGACGCGGGGGCUUCACCGCCUACCAACUCUUGGCAAACUGCGAAUACCGCGACCAGCGGCGACCGAGUGAGACGGCGGGUGCGAAUAUUCGUCGUCAAAAGGGCAACAGCCCAGACCCACGGCUAAGGUCCCGAAGUGGGUGUUGAGUAGGCAAGGAAGUCGCGAUGCUCAGACAACCAGGAGGUUGGCUUAGAAGCAGCCACCCUUGAAAGAGUGCGUAAUAGCUCACUGGUCGAGGAUCGAUGCGCCGACAAUGUAACGGGGUUAAACACACCACCGAAGCCUGGGAUCAUACACUUGUGUAUGGUGGUAGGGGAGCGUCGUCAAGCGAGGAAGCACGAACGGAAGUCCGUGCGGAGCGAAGACGAGUGCGAAUGUCGGAAUGAGUAACGUAUUGUGGGGCGAGAACCCCCACCGCCGCAUGCCCAAGGCUUCCGCUGCACGGGCACUCCGCAGCGGGUUAGUCGGGCCUAAGCCGAGGCUGCGAAGCGUAGGCGAUGGACAGCUGGUUGAUAUUCCAGCACCAGUGCCAGCGAUGAACCAGUGAGAUCCUGAGGGGGAUGGCGAGCGGUCAGACGAGGACCGUUCAAGCUGGUAGGCGCGAGCCGAGAAGCGAGCACGAGUGGGUCCAGCGAUGGACGCCGCAAGUCGCCAACACCUGGACAGGCACGAAAGGCUUGCUGGGGAGCGAAGCACUGCCCGUACCGGACACCGACACUGGUGGGCUGAUCGAGGAGAUUAAGGCGGACGAGCGAACCCUGGUUAAGGAACUCGGCAAAUUGAUCCCGUACCUUUGGAAGAAGGGAUGCUCUCCCCGGUGUACAUCUUCGCGAUGGAAGCCGGCAGAGAGCCGCAGAGUCCAGGCCCAAGCGACUGGUUACCAGAACCUUAGCUCCCUGCCGAAGGCGCAAGCCGACGUAUAGGGGGUGAUGCCUGCCCAGUGCUGGAAGGUUAAGGGGAGGGGUGCACGCUCCGAACCGAAGCCCCAGUAAACGGCGGCCGUAACUAUAACGGUCCUAAGGUAGCGAAAUUCCUUGUCGGGUAAGUUCCGACCCGCACGAAAGGCAUAACGACUUGGGCACUGUCUCGACCGGGGGCUCGGUGAAAUUGAAGUGGCGGUGAAGAUGCCGUCAACCCACACCCGGACAAAAAGACCCCGUGGAGCUUUACUCUAGCUUGCCACUGUGUAUGCUGUGGUGCUGCGUAGGAUAGGUGGGAGCCGGCGAAGCCGCCCUUGCGGGGGUGGUGGAGGCAACGGUGAAAUACCACUCUGCAGCAUGGCGUACACUCACCGCAUGUCACCGCAUGUGGAACCGUGGCUGGUGGGGAGUUUGACUGGGGCGGUCGCCUCCCAAAGGGUAACGGAGGCGCCCAAUGGUUCCCUCAGGGUGGAUGGCAACCACCCAGGGCGUGCAAGGGCACAAGGGAGCUUGACUGCAAGGCAAACCGGCCGCGCAGGGCCGAAAGGCGGGCCUAGUGAUCCUACGGUGGCAGGUGGAAGCGCCGUAGCGUACCGGAUAAAAGC
rnacentral:rRNA from 1 species